GAAAGGUAUGCUAAUACGGGAUAAUAUAUUGAGAGGCAUCUCUUAAAUAUCAAAGGUGAGCCAGUACAGGAUGGACCCGCGUCUGAUUAGCUAGUUGGUAAGGUAACGGCUUACCAAGGCGACGAUCAGUAGCCGACCUGAGAGGGUGAUCGGCCACAUUGGAACUGAGACACGGUCCAAACUCCUACGGGAGGCAGCAGUGGGGAAUAUUGCACAAUGGGCGAAAGCCUGAUGCAGCAACGCCGCGUGAGUGAUGAAGGCCUUCGGGUCGUAAAACUCUGUCCUCAAGGAAGAUAAUGACGGUACUUGAGGAGGAAGCCCCGGCUAACUACGUGCCAGCAGCCGCGGUAAUACGUAGGGGGCUAGCGUUAUCCGGAUUUACUGGGCGUAAAGGGUGCGUAGGCGGUCUUUCAAGUCAGGAGUGAAAGGCUACGGCUCAACCGUAGUAAGCUCUUGAAACUGGGAGACUUGAGUGCAGGAGAGGAGAGUGGAAUUCCUAGUGUAGCGGUGAAAUGCGUAGAUAUUAGGAGGAACACCAGUUGCGAAGGCGGCUCUCUGGACUGUAACUGACGCUGAGGCACGAAAGCGUGGGGAGCAAACAGGAUUAGAUACCCUGGUAGUCC
rnacentral:rRNA from 1 species